GACGUAGGGCGCGAGCGUUGUCCGGAUUUAUUGGGCGUAAAGAGCUCGUAGGCGGCUUGUCGCGUCGGCUGUGAAAACCCGCGGCUCAACUGUGGGCGGGCAGCUGAUACGGGCAGGCUGGAGUUCGGUAGGGGAGACUGGAAUUCCUGGUGUAGCGGUGAAAUGCGCAGAUAUCAGGAAGAACACCCGUGGCGAAGGCGGCUUUCUGGGACGGUACUGACGCUG
rnacentral:rRNA from 1 species